GACGAACGCUGGCGGCGUGCCUAACACAUGCAAGUCGAACGGAGUGGCGAACGGGUGAGUAACACGUGGGUGAUCUGCCGUGCACUUCGGGAUAAGCCUGGGAAACUGGGUCUAAUACCGGUUAGCGCAAGAUGAGCUCGCGUCCUAUCAGCUUGUUGGUGGGGUAAUGGCCUACCUAGGCGUCGACGGGUAGCCGGCCUGAGAGGGUGGACGGCCACAUUAGGACUGAGAUACGGCCCAGACUGCUACGGGGGGCAGCAGGGGGGAGUAUGACACAAUGGGCGGAAGCGUGAUGCGGCGACGCCGGGUGGGGAAUGAAGGCCUAGGGGUUGUAAACUCCUUUCGACAGGGACGCGGUACCUGUAUAAGAAGCACCGGCUAACUACGUGCCAGCAGCCGCGGUAAUAC
rnacentral:rRNA from 1 species